rnacentral:rRNA from 1 species
UACGGAGGGUGCAAGCGUUAAUCGGAAUUACUGGGCGUAAAGCGUGCGCAGGCGGUUUGUUAAGUCAGUUGUGAAAUCCCCGAGCUCAACUUGGGAAUUGCAAUGGAUACUGGCAGGCUGGAGUAUGGUAGAGGAAGGUGGAAUUCCCGGUGUAGCAGUGAAAUGCGUAGAGAUCGGGAGGAACACCAGUGGCGAAGGCGGCCUUCUGGACCAAUACUGACGCUCAUGCACGAAAGCGUGGGGAGCAAACAGG